AAGUUACGUAUUGCUGGUGCUGUUCGGAUUCUAUCGUGUUUCCCUAAGAGUUUGAUCCUGGCUCAGAUUGAACGCUGGCGGCAUGCCUUACACAUGCAAGUCGAACGGUAACAGGGAGCUUGCUCCGCUGACGAGUGGCGAACGGGUGAGUAAUACAUCGGAACGUGCCCAGUAAUGGGGGAUAGCUCGGCGAAAGCCGGAUUAAUACCGCAUACGCCCUGAGGGGGAAAGUGGGGGACCGCAAGGCCUCACGUUAUUGGAGCGGCCGAUGGCUGAUUAGCUAGUUGGUAGGGUAAAGGCCUACCAAGGCGACGAUCAGUAGCUGGUCUGAGAGGACGAUCAGCCACACUGGGACUGAGACACGGCCCAGACUCCUACGGGAGGCAGCAGUGGGGAAUUUUGGACAAUGGGGGAAACCCUGAUCCAGCAAUGCCGCGUGUGCGAAGAAGGCCUUCGGGUUGUAAAGCACUUUUGUCGGGAAAAAAWCCUUUGGGCUAAUACCCUAGGGGGAUGACGGUACCUGAAGAAUAAGCACCGGCUAACUACGUGCCAGCAGCCGCGGUAAUACGUAGGGUGCAAGCGUUAAUCGGAAUUACUGGGCGUAAAGCGUGCGCAGGCGGUUGUGUAAGACAGGUGUGAAAUCCCCGGGCUUAACCUGGGAAUUGCAUUUGUGACUGCACGACUAGAGUGUGUCAGAGGGGGUGGAAUUCCACGUGUAGCAGUGAAAUGCGUAGAUAUGUGGAGGAACACCAAUGGCGAAGGCAGCCCCCUGGGAUAACACUGACGCUCAUGCACGAAAGCGUGGGGAGCAAACAGGAUUAGAUACCCUGGUAGUCCACGCCCUAAACGAUGUCAACUAGUUGUUGGGGAUUUACUUCCUUGGUAACGUAGCUAACGCGUGAAGUUGACCGCCUGGGGAGUACGGCCGCAAGGUUAAAACUCAAAGGAAUUGACGGGGACCCGCACAAGCGGUGGAUGAUGUGGAUUAAUUCGAUGCAACGCGAAAAACCUUACCUACCCUUGACAUGGCAGGAACUUUCCAGAGAUGGAUUGGUGCUCGAAAGAGAACCUGCACACAGGUGCUGCAUGGCUGUCGUCAGCUCGUGUCGUGAGAUGUUGGGUUAAGUCCCGCAACGAGCGCAACCCUUGUCAUUAGUUGCUACAUUUAGUUGGGGCACUCUAAUGAGACUGCCGGUGACAAGCCGGAGGAAGGUGGGGAUGACGUCAAGUCCUCAUGGCCCUUAUAGGUGGGGCUACACACGUCAUACAAUGGCCGGUACAAAGGGUCGCAAACCCGCGAGGGGGAGCCAAUCCAUCAAAGCCGGUCGUAGUCCGGAUCGCAGUCUGCAACUCGACUGCGUGAAGUCGGAAUCGCUAGUAAUCGUGGAUCAGCAUGUCACGGUGAAUACGUUCCCGGGUCUUGUACACACCGCCCGUCACACCAUGGGAGCGGGUCUCGCCAGAAGUAGGUAGCCUAACCGCAAGGAGGGCGCUUACCACGGCGGGGUUCGUGACUGGGGUGAAGUCGUAACAAGGUAGCCGUAUCGGAAGGUGCGGCUGGAUCACCUCCUUUCUGGAAAAAUCCACACCAGCUGUUUGAAUGCUGAUCUUGCUUGUCAAGGUUGAGCGCAAGGAGCGGCAGUGGAUCAAGCAAUCAAGCUCAAACGCUCACACUUAUCGGUUGUUCAAAAGAUGUCAUUGACGUCUUGGCGAGAGUCAUGGCGAUCACUGUCCGGCCUGGGUCUGUAGCUCAGUUGGUUAGAGCACUGUGUUGAUAACGCAGGGGUCGUUGGUUCGAACCCAACCAGACCCACCAGUGCACAUCUUUAAGUGGACAAGUAUGGGGGAUUAGCUCAGCUGGGAGAGCACCUGCUUUGCAAGCAGGGGGUCGUCGGUUCGAUCCCGUCAUCCUCCACCAAUCUUUUGAUUCAGCUGCCUUCGGGUGGAAUUCAACAUCAAAGCAUUCUCUGCGGAGUGUGCUUUGAUGUUGAUCGGUAUCUAUCGAUCAUCAAGCAAUCUUAGGAUUGCAACGGCUGUUCUUUAAAAAUUCAUAGAGUCGAAUCAGAGUUGCUGAUGGAAAGCGUACAUUCGUAAAGGUUUAGUACGCACCGUGCCAUCAGCAACGUAAUUUUUGAUUGCGUCAACGAAUAUUCAAUUUAGUCAUAAGAUAUAAAUUGAAACGGCAUAACGCGUCAGGUGAAAGACCUGACAAGACAUUUGCUUGAUGUAGCGAUGUGUUUUACCUGGUUGAACGACUGGGUAAGACGUCAAAGUUAUAGGGUCAAGUGAAUAAGAGCAUGUGGUGGAUGCCUUGGCGAUGAUAGGCGACGAAGGACGUGAUAGCCUGCGAUAAGCUUCGGGGAGCUGGCAAAUAAGCUUUGAUCCGGAGAUUUCCGAAUGGGGAAACCCACCUAGCAGUAGGUAUCGCAUGAUGAAUACAUAGUCAUGCGAGGCGAACCGGGUGAACUGAAACAUCUCAGUAGCUCGAGGAAAAGACAUCAACCGAGAUUCCGAAAGUAGUGGCGAGCGAAAUUGGAAGAGCCUGUUAGUGAUAGCGCAAGACUUAACGGAACGUUCUGGAAAGGACGGCCAUAGUGGGUGAUAGCCCCGUACGUGAAAAGACCUGUGUGGUACUAAGCUAACGAAAAGUAGGGCGGGACACGAGAAAUCCUGUCUGAAUAUGGGGGACCAUCCUCCAAGGCUAAAUACUCAUCAUCGACCGAUAGUGAACAAGUACCGUGAGGGAAAGGCGAAAAGAACCCCGGGGGGGGUGAAAUAGAUCCUGAAACCGCAUGCUUACAAAAAGUAGGAGCCUCGUAAGGGGUGACUGCGUACCUUUUGUAUAAUGGGUCAGCGACUUACAUUCAGUGGCAAGGUUAACCGAAUAGGGAAGCCGUAGAGAAAUCGAGUCCGAAUAGGGCGAAUCAGUCGCUGGGUGUAGACCCGAAACCAAGUGAUCUAUCCAUGGCCAGGAUGAAGGUGCUGUAACAGGUACUGGAGGUCCGAACCGACUAAUGUUGCAAAAAUUAGCGGAUGAGCUGUGGAUAGGGGUGAAAGGCUAAACAAACUUGGAAAUAGCUGGUUCUCUCCGAAAACUAUUUAGGUAGUGCCUCAAGUAUUACCGUCGGGGUAGAGCACUGUUUUGGCUAGGGGGUCAUGGCGACUUACCAAACCAAGGCAAACUCCGAAUACCGACGAGUACAGCUUGGGAGACAGAGCACCGGGUGCUAACGUCCGGACUCAAGAGGGAAACAACCCAGACCGCCAGCUAAGGUCCCUAAAAUUGGCUAAGUGGGAAACGAAGUGGGAAGGCUAAAACAGUCAGGAUGUUGGCUUAGAAGCAGCCAUCAUUUAAAGAAAGCGUAAUAGCUCACUGAUCGAGUCGUCCUGCGCGGAAGAUGUAACGGGGCUAAGCCAGUUACCGAAGCUGCGGAUUUGCAAUUUAUUGCAAGUGGUAGGAGAGCGUUCUGUAAGCCUGUGAAGGUGUCUUGUAAAGGAUGCUGGAGGUAUCAGAAGUGCGAAUGCUGACAUGAGUAGCGUUAAAGGGGGKRAAAASCCCCUCGCCGUAAGCGCAAGGUUUCCUACGCAACGUUCAUCGGCGUAGGGUGAGUCGGCCCCUAAGGUGAGGCAGAGAUGCGUAACUGAUGGGAAACAGGUCAAUAUUCCUGUACCGAUUACAAGUGCGAUGUGGGGACGGAUCUUAAUAGGUUAUCCGGCUGUUGGAAGUGCCGGUUUAGACAGAUGUAGGCGACACGUAGGCAAAUCCGCGUGUCAUAUACCGAGGCUGUCGAUCGAGUGAGCUUGCUCACGAAGUAACUGAACGAGGUCCCAGGAAAAGCCACUAAGCUUCAGCUUGUAAUUGACCGUACCGCAAACCGACACUGGUGCGCGAGAUGAGUAUUCUAAGGCGCUUGAGAGAACUCUGGAGAAGGAACUCGGCAAAUUGACACCGUAACUUCGGAAGAAGGUGUGCCCUUGUAGUGUGAUGAGAACAUCUGAGCACGAACGGGUUGCAAAAAAUUGGUGGCUGCGACUGUUUAUUAAAAACACAGCACUCUGCAAACACGAAAGUGGACGUAUAGGGUGUGACGCCUGCCCGGUGCUGGAAGAUUAAUUGAUGGGGUGCAAGCUCUUGAUCGAAGUCCCAGUAAACGGCGGCCGUAACUAUAACGGUCCUAAGGUAGCGAAAUUCCUUGUCGGGUAAGUUCCGACCUGCACGAAUGGCGUAACGAUGGCCACACUGUCUCCUCCAGAGACUCAGCGAAGUUGAAAUGUUUGUGAUGAUGCAAUCUCCCCGCGGAAAGACGGAAAGACCCCAUGAACCUUUACUGUAGCUUUGUAUUGAAUUUUGAACAGAUCUGUGUAGGAUAGGUGGGAGGCUUUGAAGCAGGGUCGCUAGAUCUUGUGGAGCCAACGUUGAAAUACCACCCUGGUGUGUUUGAGGUUCUAACCUAGGUCCAUUAUCUGGAUCGGGGACAGUGCAUGGUAGGCAGUUUWACUGGGGCGGUUAGGGAAACACGAUAGAAUCCGAACAG
rnacentral:rRNA from 1 species